UACGUAGGGUGCGAGCGUUGUCCGGAUUUAUUGGGCGUAAAGAGCUCGUAGGCGGUUUGUCGCGUCGGCCGUGAAAUCUCCACGCUUAACGUGGAGCGUGCGGUCGAUACGGGCAGACUUGAGUUCGGUAGGGGAGACUGGAAUUCCUGGUGUAGCGGUGAAAUGCGCAGAGUAUCAGGAGGAACACCGAUGGCGAAGGCAGGUCUCUGGGCAUUAACUGACGCUGAGGAGCGAAAGCGUGGGGAGCAAACAGG
rnacentral:rRNA from 1 species